rnacentral:rRNA from 1 species
UGGGGAAUAUUGGACAAUGGGGGAAACCCUGAUCCAGCAAUGCCGCGUGAGUGAAGAAGGCCUUAGGGUUGUAAAGCUCUUUCGCCCGCGAAGAUAAUGACGGUAGCGGGAGAAGAAGCCCCGGCUAACUCCGUGCCAGCAGCCGCGGUAAUGCGGAGGGGGCUAGCGUUGUUCGGAAUUACUGGGCGUAAAGCGUACGUAGGCGGAUGCGCAAGUUGGGGGUGAAAUCCCGGGGCUUAACCUCGGAAUUGCCCUCAAAACUGCACGUCUUGAGACCGAGAGAGGUAAGGCGAAUUCCUAGUGGAGAGGUGAAAUUCGUAGAUAUUAGGAAUAACACCAGUGGCGAAGGCGCCUUACUGGCUCGGUACUGACGCUGAGGCACGAAAGCGUGGGGAGCAAACA